GCAAGAUUAAAACUCAAAGGAAUAGACGGGGACCCGCACAAGCGGUGGAGCAUGUGGUUUAAUUCGAAGAUACGCGAAGAACCUUACCUAGACUUGAAAUCCUUGGAAUCCUGCAGAGAUGCGGGAGUGCUAGUUUACUAGAACCAAGUGACAGGUGCUGCACGGCUGUCGUCAGCUCGUGUCGUGAGAUGUUGGGUUAAGUCCCGCAACGAGCGCAACCCUCGUGAUUAGUUGCUAACAGUUCGGCUGAGCACUCUAAUCAGACUGCCUUCGUAAGGAGGAGGAAGGUGAGGACGACGUCAAGUCAUCAUGGCCCUUAUGUCUAGGGCUACACACGUGCUACAAUGGUUGGGACAAAGAGCAGCGAUACCGUGAGGUGGAGCAAAUCUUAAAACCCAAUCUCAGUUCGGGUUGAAGUCUGCAACUCGACUUCAUGAAGCUGGAAUCGCUAGUAAUCGUAGAUCAGCAAUGCUACGGUGAAUACGUUCCCGGGUCUUGUACUCACCGCCCGUCACACCAUGGGAGUUGAUUUCGCUCGAAGCCGGAAUACUAAAUUAGUUACCGUCCACAGCGGAAUUAGCGACUGGGGUGAAGUCGUAACAAGGUA
rnacentral:rRNA from 1 species